CAAUAGCGUAUAUUAAAGUCGUUGCAGUUAAAAAGCUCGUAGUUGGAUUUCUGGUUGAAGCGACCGGUCGGGCGUUGAUUCGUCUGCACUGGAGUCGGUUUUGGCCAUCCUCUAGGAAAGUGCGUCUGGUAUUAAGUUAUCGGGCGUAUGAUCCUGGUCUUUUACUGUGAAAAAAUUAGAGUGUUUAAAGCAGGCCUUCGCCUUGAAUACAUUAGCAUGGAAUAAUAAGAUAGGACUUUGGUCUAUUUUGUUGGUUUGCAGACCGAAGUAAUGAUUAAUAGGGAUAGUUGGGGGUAUUUAUAUUCCGAUGUCAGAGGUGAAAUUCUUAGAUUUUCGGAAGAUAAACUUAUGCGAAAGCAUUUACCAAGGAUGUUUUCAUUA
rnacentral:rRNA from 1 species